AAAUAAGCGAAGCUUCACUUGAACAAAGUCCGGAUGACGGACGAAGUUCCAGUUGAGGGUUCAUUCGGUGCGCACCAAAAUACCCAAUUGCCGCCUUGGGGCGCAAGGCGCCACCAACUGCAAUGUCUCCAUCGGAGCAAGUUAUUUUCAUUUUUUAUGUGACAUUACCAGGAUUCCCGUGGACGGAAGUUUCACCUCGUAAAUAAUUCUUGCUCUGUGACUACUUCUUAUAAAUAUUCAGUGCUGGAUGGGACUACACAUUUCGCCAUGAACAAAGUCUGUGUGCGCCAUGAUAUUUUAUGUUGGCCAGGUAAAAAAUAUAGUAAAACCUCA